rnacentral:tRNA from 1 species
GAGGUUGUAGCUCAGUUGUAGAGCACUUGCCUUGCAUGUAUGAGGCACUGGGUUCAAUCCUCAGCACCACA